rnacentral:lncRNA from 1 species
GGUGCAAGAUGGUAUCUUAGAGAAGGUGCUGUGUCUCUUAAAGGGUCCACGACUCCUCUUUUGACCAUGCCGCCACCGCCGCCCGCAGUACCGGUGUCUGCUGCUGGGAGUGCCUCGGGGAACCCGGAGAGCCCCUCUUCCUGGUUACUUCCGCUGGUUUUUUUCCUGGAAACUCGCUCCGAUGUCCCGAAAUGACUCAGCUGUAGUAAAUCUGCAACACAACGUGCGGUGCGUUUAUGUUGGACAUAAUGCCAAGAAGCAAGAUCUUGCUAUUUUUUUUUCCUUCCUUACACACUUAUUUUGAUGAUCGGCGUUCAUACUUCUGAUUUUUUGCUGCUUAGCUUCAAUUACAAAAUCUCUCUCUCUCUCUCUCUCUCUCUCUAUCUCUCUCUCUCUCUCUCUCUCUGUGUGUGUGUGUGUGUGUGUGUGUGUGUGUGUGUGUGUGUGUGUUUGCUUGUUUUGUUUUUCUUGAGACAGGAUUUCUCCAUCUAAUCCUGGCUGUCCUGGAACUGUGGCCUCGAACUCAGAUACCUACCUCUGCCUCCCGAGUGCUGGAUUUAAAGGCACCAGACUAAUAUCUCAUCAUUGCAUCUCUAAAUGUCAAUAUUUUUAUUUGUUUUUUUUUUUCAGGAGGAAUUUUCAUCAGCAAACAUCAUUUAAAAGGAAAUUAAUGGCGAAAAUGGGGCAUUGGGAAACCAUGGGGGAGGGGGGAGACUGAGAGAAUGAGAAUGAAUAAUGGCAAAAUAAAUAAAUAAAUAAAUAAAUAAAAAUUUAAAAACCCUGGAAUAUGCC